UACGAAGGGGGCUAGCGUUGCUCGGAAUCACUGGGCGUAAAGGGUGCGUAGGCGGGUCUUUAAGUCAGGGGUGAAAUCCUGGAGCUCAACUCCAGAACUGCCUUUGAUACUGAAGAUCUUGAGUUCGGGAGAGGUGAGUGGAACUGCGAGUGUAGAGGUGGAAUGCGUAGAGAUCCGGAGGAACACCAGCGGCGAAGGCGGCAUCCUGGACUGGUCCUGACACUCAGGAGCGAAAGCGUGGGGAGCGAUCCGG
rnacentral:rRNA from 1 species